rnacentral:rRNA from 1 species
UACGUAGGGGGCAAGCGUUGGUCCGGAUUUAUUGGGCGUAAAGAGCGUGUAGGCGGUCAGGUAGGUCCGUUGUGAAAACUCGAGGCUCAACCUCGAGACGCCGAUGGAAACCAUCUGACUAGAGUCCGGAAGAGGAGAGUGGAAUUCCGUGGUGGUAGCGGUGAAAUGCGCAGAUAUCAGGAAGAACACCCGUGGCUAAGGCGGCUCUCUAGUACGGUACUGACGCUGAGACGCGAAAGCGUGGGGAGCGAACAGG